GACCCAUGAUGACUGGUAAAAGGUCUGACACACACAGGUCCCUGUGCCCUGCCGUCCCCAGCUGCCUCUCCCCUGUCAGGAUCCAGCUAUGCCAUGCUGGGCACAGGGCAGUUGACACCUUGUGGUGCCCCUACCCGUGUCCUUGAUGAGCCCAGGAGCCACCGUGGUUAGUGCCCAACAGGUGCAUGACCAAGGGACCCGAAGGCAGGGCGCGCUGAGGUCUGGGGGCUGAUCUGACAUUGCCAAGCUGAGGCC